GAUGAACGCUAGCGGCAGGCCUAAUACAUGCAAGUCGAACGGUGUCUUCGGACAUAGUGGCGCACGGGUGCGUAACACGUAUGCAACCUACCUUACAUUGGGGGAUAGCCUUUCGAAAGGGAGAUUAAUACCGCAUAAGACAGUAGCUGGGCAUCCAGCAGCUGUUAAAGAUUUAUCGAUGUAAGCUGGGCAUGCGUCCAAUUAGCUAGUUGGUGAGGUAACGGCUCACCAAGGCAAUGAUUGGUAGGGGAACUGAGAGGUCAAUCCCCCACACUGGCACUGGGAUACGGGCCAGACUCCUACGGGAGGCAGCAGUAGGGAAUAUUGGGCAAUGGACGCAAGUCUGACCCAGCCAUGCCGCGUGCAGGAUGAAGGCGUUAUGCGUUGUAAACUGCUUUUAUACAGGAAGAAACGACUCUUGCGAGAGGCAUUGACGGUACUGUAUGAAUAAGCACCGGCUAACUCCAUGCCAGCCGCCGCGGUAACAC
rnacentral:rRNA from 1 species